rnacentral:rRNA from 1 species
AGAGUUUGAUCCUGGCUCAGGAUGAACGCUAGCGGCAGGCCUAAUACAUGCAAGUCGAGGGGCAGCAGUACUUUUCGGAGUAGCUGGCGACCGGCGCACGGGUGCGUAACGCGUAUGCAAUCUACCCACUGCACAGGGAUAGCCCGUGGAAACAUGGAUUAAUACCUGAUAAUACAGGGAGCCCACCUGGGCAUAUUGUUAAAGUUUUAACGGCAGUGGAUGAGCAUGCGUCCCAUUAGUUAGUUGGUAAGAUAACGGCUUACCAAGGCGAUGAUGGGUAGGGGUUCUGAGAGGAUGAUCCCCCACACUGGUACUGAGAUACGGACCAGACUCCUACGGGAGGCAGCAGUAGGGAAUAUUGGUCAAUGGACGCAAGUCUGAACCAGCCAUGCCGCGUGCAGGAAGACGGCCUUCUGGGUUGUAAACUGCUUUUCUCAGGGAAGAAAACGCUCUUGCGAGAGUACUUGCCGUACCUGAGAAUAAGCACCGCUAACU